AUAUAUAAAAAAUAAAUAUAUUAAGGCUUGUUUAUAAUCAGAACUAGACCGAUAAUUAUAGACUAAAAAUACAACGGCCGAAAACCCUGUCACUAGUUUUCAUGUCCGUACAAAUUAAAACUCUAAUCCCCCCCUAAAUUUUCUCCUCUCAAAUCUAGUUCCCCUGAAAGAUACAACUAUCAAAACCCUGACUCUCCCUUGAAUCCCUUCACUCAGAUCAUUAACAUUCUUGCUCAAAAAUUCAAAAUGGCUUCAAAAAACCAACCAUCAGAAACAUUACAGUUGAUAGUAGUGGAUUUUGUGGAUCCCUAGUACUUGUACCUGGGAUUCACAAGAACCCAGAUUGUAAGAAAGCUAAAUUCCUAUAGAAUAUAGAUCUACUUUUGUGAUUUGCUAAACAUGUUGAUUUAGUUUAUUUGUUUUUGAAAAUUCGGUUUGUAUUGUCAAGCAAUCCAAGAUACCUAAGACUCAAAAAAAAAGUCAUCAUACUGGUAAAUCUUCCUGGAGACGUCCCUAGAAAUGUUGAAGAUGAUGGGGAGGGAAGCAGAAGCAGCAUCACCACGACCAACAAUGGUGAUGAGAUUGAAGAAGAUAACAACGCUUGAAGAUGUUUAUUUGUUUAAGAUCAAUAACGUAUUACCUAAUUAAUUAUGUAGGAUCUAUUAGCAUAUCAAGUUUGAAAUUAUCAGUUUAUGGAUAAGUUUAUUGAGUUCAAUAAUGUAGAAUUUUAAAAAAGAGAAAUUAUGGAGAAAAAAGAUAAACCAAAACUCUGAUCAUUCUUACAAAAAUAAAUGUGUUUUUGCUGAUCCGACGGAUGUAAAGAGGAUUUUUUCUUGAAUCAAUGGCUGCUAUUCUUUCAAAAGUGGAGGAAAGUGCACAAAAACAAAUGUGUUUUUGCUGAUACGGCCGAUGUAAAGAGGAUUUUUUCUUGAAUCAAUGGCUGCUAUUCUUUCAAAAGUGGAGGAAAGCGCAAAAGAUAAAUCUCGGCUUAAAAUACACCCAUAUUUUAAGCCUUCAUCCGCCUUCAUCCACGUCUCGGAGUGUCUCACGUACUCUUCCGCUUCAUGAAAACAUUACAUUCAAUGUGCCUAAUUAAUCCCUUGACAAAAAUGAAAGCAAAACGCACAUAACAUAAGAACCAAGUCCCAUCCGUUUCAAAUCCCAAUUAAUGGGAUUAUGUUGAAUACCUUUUUCUUCUCUGAAAUCAAUAUGGAGUGCAAUUGAACGGAAUCUUCCUUGAACCUCAUUAACUCACCCACAUACGUUUCUUCAGCUCAAUAGGUCGAAGAAGAACAGAUUUUUGUUGGUGCACGACAUAUUCCCGGACAAACCAACAUCCAUCCUAGAUUUCACCAGCUCUUCCUGUCGUCUCUACUACAUACAGACCUUUCAGUUAUAUAAGCCAAGCUGAAGGAGGCAAACCCUGGAUAACAUACAUUCUGAAGUAGAAUGAGUUUCAUACGGAAGAAUGAUGUUACAAGCUUAAAUGUCUUCAUGAUCAAUGAAAAUGGUGAUGAGUUGCAAGGGAAUGGAGCUAUAUUCACUUAAAACACACUCAUAAUUUUGGUGACAGAAUUUUUUUUCUCCUUGCUUGCAAUCACCACCGCUUUUUAUUCAAGUGGGAAACUGAAUGGUUUUUACCAAAUUUUUUUGGGUGGAGUAUCUGCAAGAAAUGAAGGGAGCCAACUGUCAGCCUUGCAUGAUGCACGCCUUAACUCUUCUGAACCUAAGGUACAAACGUAUAUAUGAGCUAACCUUUCAGCCACAUUCGACAUUUUUAGGAUUGAGCCUAAAAGUUUUUAUGAGAGCCAACGGGAAGAUAACAUUAUAGGGUGAGUCAACGAACGAGCUCCGGUGAUCCUAGACACAUAUUGAAUGAAGGAAACAACUGUUGAUGCGUAGUCUUAUCGUCCUAUGUCAAAAAAUAUCAAGGGAAGUAUUCUUUCUCCUCCACGAAUGCCACUAAGGUCUUCUCAAACUUGACGUGGGGUUCAUGACAUGAAAGAAAGAAACUGGGAGUUCCUUGAUGGGGUACAAAACGGUUUUGAUUGUAGCUAUAUGCUUUGAAGAAAAUUCGCAAAGCUGAAUUAAGUCGUUUCAUGGACUAUACUCGGUAAAACUGAUUGUUGCUUCGCUCGACAGCCUCGACUUGGUUCUAAAGUAAUUGGGUGAUCUUUUUUAUACUCUUAUUGGUCCUUAUACUUGAUAAACUCAUGAUAACAGAUGAUUGCAUGCAGUGUAUCGAUCCUACAUUUUUUAAGGUAUGCAAACAAAAAUUCUGUGAUAGAUUACCACCCUUUUUGGUGCUUCAUGAACUUAUUCGUAUGGCACUAGAACAACUUAUGUUUCAUUUCAAUUAUUAUUAUUUUUCUCAAAAGAUUUCGAAGUGGACUUCGCUUUCAUGGAUCUCAACAACCUUGGAGAUUGAAAAAGGUAUAUUGGAAUGGGGCUUCUCCAAGGAUGUGGCUAGCAAGAUUCCAUGGAAGCGCCUGUACUCCGAAGGACCUGAAGUGAUUUUUCUUCGAUAAGUAUAAACCUUGAAGAUAUGCAGCGAACAUAUUGCUUCACGAUAUCUCCGAAGCGCCUGUAGUUGCAUUUUAUCAAUGUUUUCAUAUCUUUAUGUUGAGUGGACUUCCAACUUCUAAGAGUUAUAUUUUAAAGUAAAUUUUUAACCAAUUUAUCCCUGCCAUCUCUCAUCGUGGAUCAUAUUUAUGACUAAUAUGCUGAUCUCUAUGUUAUGAUUAAUUGGGGGCUCUGGCUGAUACUCUUACCCGAUGCUAUUUUUUUUGAUCAGAAACCCGAUACUGUUGGUGCAUGUCUGCGUAUAUGUUUUAAAGUUUUUACUUAUUCCACCGCUUUUGUGUUGCAGUUACUGGAUGGUCGGCUGGCCUUUAAUAUAUGUUUUUCUAACAAUAGCCGGGAGCAGUAGUGGGGGUUUAAGGACGAGGGCUUAGGAAGCAAUGAAGAGUCUAGGAAUAGAAGGACACUUGCAAACCAUGAGAGAGAUUAUGGAAGCGUCUAUCAAAAUCCAAAAAGGGAAGUGAUAAUUCAAUUUGAAUACUUAAAUACGUGCACUCAUCUGCAUUACUAAGUUAGUGACGCUAUGUAUCCAUGAUAAAGGAGAUUUUUAAGUUAUUUGACAAUGGAAGGCAAGACAUGAUUGAUUGCAUGUAGAUAUAUUCUAAGUCAAUGAUAUAAUGUCUUCCAAAGGAUGUCAUUUGCACUUCACUUAUCAGGUAGGGGCUAUCGUUUAAGAAGCUAUGUUAAUAAUUGUAGAAUCACUGGACCAUUUUAACCUAUUAUAAGAGUUACUUUUAGAGUUUAGAGGGUCAUUGGCAUUUGAAUCUCCCCUAGCACUGACAUUUUUAGUGGUGAUAUAGUUCUGAUUGGGAAUCAGUGGCAUCUCUCUAUCUUUUUAUUUGGUUGCAUUGGCUGCAAAACUCUAUGCACAUUUAAUUUUUGUUUAACUAAAUUUUUUCCAUUGACCAUUAAAUAUCUUUGUUUAAAACAACUUCCAUUUAUACGGAUUUUAAAUUCAGUGUUCGAGUUGUAGUUAAGCCCUAUUAUCUGUUAUGUUCUCCUCUCAUGGUGGGUGUUAUGUAGGGUCUAAAAGAGUUCGAUACCACCAUAAACUGAAAAAUGUUUCUGUUUUAUGAAAUUUGUUAGUUUGUAAUUUAUAGAAAAAAGAGUUGAUUAGUGCUAAUUAGGUUUGUUAUACGGUUUUGAGGUGCAGUGACUGUGAAAUAAAAAUGUAUUGGUCAUUUAGUCUUUUAAAAGGCUACUUUGUUUAGUGGGUGUGUAGUAUAGGACGAUACGUUGUUUAUCUGUUUUUCCUUAGUAGAAAGCAUCUUAAGCAGGUGCUAAAUUAUAUAGCUUAGCAGAACUUAUUUCAUUUCCAUUUGCUUUUUUAGAAAAUGGAAAGCAUCUUAAGCAGGUGCUAAAUUAUAUAGCUUAGCAGAACUUAUUUCAUUUCCAUUUGCUUUUUUUUGAGUUGUUUCCAUCUAUUAGCUUAUUAACGUUACUUUUUUUCCCCACAUUUCGCUGAUUGUUAACAGAUUAUUAAGUGAGCUCAACACUUGAUUCUAACAAGGUACACUCCCUGAAUAUGCAACACCAACCAUAAUACAAACCGGGAGUGGAAACAUUGUCUUUUGCUCCAGCCGAUCUCCCCCUUCUACGUCUGACUUAUUCAAGCUUACAACAGGCACAUUGAGCUUCUACAAUAACUGUUCAAAGCUGGGAGGGCCUAGCCACUCUGAUGCGAAGCCAUUGAGCCUCUAUGAGUGAUACCGGAAGAGAUCAAAACCAAGAGCAGUAUGCACGGCAAGAAUAUACUCCUGAAUAGUCGAGUAUGUGAAGUCUAUACUGAGGACCGUCUCAUGGGAAAGGAAGUCUAGACCGCCUAGAGCCCCCAAUUAUUGAGGGCCCAUUUUUUUCUUUAUUAUAAUCGAUCUGUGAUAUUAAAAGUGUUACUAAAGUGUUUAUCACACUUAUUAAAUUACAGACGGUUGUGACAGUGGUAACUGUAACAUAUUUUGUAAUAGAUAAAAGCGCCACUAGAUUUUUAGUUUUUGAAAUUGAUAACCCAUUUUGGGUUACUUUAUGCCAAAUUACAAGCUUGGAAUCCAAAA